rnacentral:lncRNA from 1 species
UUAGCGCGGGAAUAGGUCUUCCGCUAUAGCAUAUUUCACGUGUGGCCAUCGUGGAUACACGCAACAACCGACAAAAGAGCAUAUAGCGACCGUACAAAAAAGUAGGCGUGUCAACGUCUGUACGAGAAAUUCAUUAUGCUAGUUACUCGAAGAUGUCAAAUAUGCCGGUUCAUCCCGUUAAUUUCUUCUUUAAAGUGGCAUGAGUAUGGUUCGGCAUAUUGAAGUACGGGCACAUCUUCGUCUUCUCCACCGUGACAUUGUUCUUCUCCUACAUCUCCCUUUCCCGUUAACGUUGAUGGUGGCAUCGAAGCCCUACUACCUCCCGCCUCCAGGCCACCCCUCUCUUUCCCCCAAAUCCACCGCCGGAAGGUGAGCAACCUCAUCCCGUCGCCCCACGGGGGGUCACGCCCUCACCUAACACUCGGCGACAUCACCAUGAGUCGCGUAUAAGCAGCCGAUGCAACGUGCAUAAGCCUAAAAUAAAAGUAGUUUCGGCAUUUUAAUUUCUUAUUUGUCUGUGUGCAUAGAUGGAUGCUAGCUAUAGCUUAGCCUUAUCUGAUAAGUAAUGAAGUUUUUUUUUUCGUUUUUUUAUCUAGCAUCUUCCCGUCACAUACAAAUACAAGGGAGCCUGCACAUCCUAAGCGUACAGGGGUUCCUAGUACUCCCUCCGUUUCAAAACACAACUCAUAUAAAUUUUUCUCGUUUGUUUCAAAACACACAUCAUUUUUCUUUUGGUACCCGCACCCAGCCAAUAACUAUUCAUAUCCAUUUAUUAUUAAGCCAAUAUAAGUGAUCAGACACUAGAAAAGAGAGCUGCCUUGGUCCAAAUACACAA